CCUACGGGAGGCAGCAGUGGGGAAUUUUGGACAAUGGGCGCAAGCCUGAUCCAGCAAUGCCGCGUGAGUGAAGAAGGCCUUCGGGUUGUAAAGCUCUUUUGUCAGGGAAGAAACGGUGAGCUCUAAUACAGUUUGCUAAUGACGGUACCUGAAGAAUAAGCACCGGCUAACUACGUGCCAGCAGCCGCGGUAAUACGUAGGGUGCAAGCGUUAAUCGGAAUUACUGGGCGUAAAGCGUGCGCAGGCGGUUUUGUAAGUCUGUCGUGAAAUCCCCGGGCUCAACCUGGGAAUGGCGAUGGAGACUGCAAGGCUAGAGUUUGGCAGAGGGGGGUAGAAUUCCACGUGUAGCAGUGAAAUGCGUAGAUAUGUGGAGGAACACCGAUGGCGAAGGCGGCCCCCUGGGUCAAAACUGACGCUCAUGCACGAAAGCGUGGGGAGCAAACAGGAUUAGAUACCCUGGUAGUCCACGCCCUAAACGAUGUCUACUAGUUGUCGGGUCUUAAUUGACUUGGUAACGCAGCUAACGCGUGAAGUAGACCGCCUGGGGAGUACGGUCGCAAGAUUAAAACUCAAAGGAAUUGACCGGCNGAGAGNGCGAGACGACACGAGGGAGGAGG
rnacentral:rRNA from 1 species